AAACCGCUGCACGCCUCUGACGCGACAUCUGGACACGGCGCGGCGCUGGCGCUGCCGGAGCUGUCGACCCGGCCUGGCGCCGGACUAGUGUCCCUUUUGAUGAGAAGAAUAAGCCUCAUUCUGAUUCAACAGCAGAGAUCAAAGAAAAGACUUCUGUUUUCUGGCCACCAGAUAUAUGUUAUCUGUGCUUAAAGAAUUGAAAAACACACAUCAAAGGAGAAUUUUCUUGGAAAGAGAGGGUUCAAGCAUCACUGUUAGGUGUGCUGGAAUCCUUUCCCGAGUCAGUACUGCUUUCUAGAAGAAAACCGGGGAGAUCUAUUUGGAAUGUAUCUAACUCCAAAGAAACCAUCAGAGGUAACAGGUGGAGAACUUCAGUAGAGGAAGUGGCAGGAAUUUGGGAAUGAGGAGCACAGUGAUUAAACUGGGGCCAUUCAUAUGAGAGUUUAAGAACUCAGACCAGUGACUUAGGUGAGUAAAAAUAUCAGAAAAAGGGAAAGAGG
rnacentral:lncRNA from 10 species